AUCUAUUGACAUCCCGCGUGUUCCCGGGCUGUCUGCUCGACCCCCCAGUGCAGGGCGCCAAGGCUGGAGACCGCGCGGCCCUUCUGCAGACCGAUGGAAGCUCCUUGGGUCGACAGAUUACAGCUUCUGCAGCGGCUGGAGCCCAGCUACUCCCUUCAGCCAAGUGGUGGGUGCCCACUGUCCCCAGGGAGAGGAUGCCUGGGUAAGUGCUGCUGUUCCGGAGCAAGGGGAAACCCGGGUGCCUCUAAAUGGUCUUCCCAUGGCACCAGCAGAGGGGUGGUGUGGAGUUGUGGUUUGAGAAAAGCUGAUGAAGCCACUGGGCAGCGAGAAGCCCAGUAGGAGCCAGAAGUACCCAAGAGCAAGACUAGGCACAGUUCGGGUCCAUGUUGCAUAAUGGGAGCCCCUUACAGAUUACAGAGGAAAGGGGGUCGGGGUGGGGUCCAUGCCACGUGGUUUGCUGCCUGGCAGCUUCUGUGUCUGGUAUUGUGUGCUUCCCAGGUAAGCUCACCUGGGCUAAUUUUUUGCAGAAAUAAUAGCUUGGAUCUACAGUGGCCAUAAAGUUGGCUCCAACCCACUAGACUGACAAGACUACGGUGCUCCUGAGUGAGGAUUGUACCCUGGGAUCUGGGGUGCAAUUUCUUCAGUUACAUAUGUGAAGUGCCAGGAGAGACGGCACACCCAGAGUGCCAUGUCCUGACGCGCCUUUGAGCAGCCAGCACAGCAGAUCAUCAGACCUGUCUCCAGAGAGCUCUGGUUCCUCCUCCAGAACAGACUGGCUGCUCAGGAGGCCAUAGCAGGACUGUCAGUUGAUCUCUGCCACGUGUGCUCAACAGUCGU